AACUUACCUUUUACUAGAGAAUAGCCAAGAGAAAUUUUGAUUAAUGCUCUAUGUUCUUAUUUACUCGCAUGAGUAAAUAAGCAAAGCUCCGGCGGUAAAAGAUGGGCAUGCGUCCUAUUAGCUUGUAGGUGAGGUAAUGGCUCACCUAAGCUCCGAUAGGUAGGGGUCCUGAGAGGGAGAUCCCCCACACUGGUACUGAGACACGGACCAGACUUCUACGGAAGGCAGCAGUAAGGAAUAUUGGACAAUGGAGGCAACUCUGAUCCAGCCAUGCCGCGUGAAGGAAGACGGCCUUAUGGGUUGUAAACUUCUUUUAUACAGGAAGAAACCUUUCCACGUGUGGAAAGCUGACGGUACUGUAAGAAUAAGGAUCGGCUAACUCCGUGCCAGCAGCCGCGGUAAUACGGAGGAUCCAAGCGU
rnacentral:rRNA from 1 species